AUUGAACGCUGGCGGCAUGCCUUACACAUGCAAGUCGAACGGUAACGGGUCCUUCGGGAUGCCGACGAGUGGCGAACGGGUGAGUAAUAUAUCGGAACGUGCCCAGUAGUGGGGGAUAACUGCUCGAAAGAGCAGCUAAUACCGCAUACGACCUGAGGGUGAAAGGGGGGGAUCGCAAGACCUCUCGCUAUUGGAGCGGCCGAUAUCAGAUUAGCUAGUUGGUGGGGUAAAGGCCUACCAAGGCAACGAUCUGUAGUUGGUCUGAGAGGACGACCAGCCACACUGGGACUGAGACACGGCCCAGACUCCUACGGGAGGCAGCAGUGGGGAAUUUUGGACAAUGGUCGCAAGCCUGAUCCAGCAAUGCCGCGUGCAGGAAGAAGGCCUUCGGGUUGUAAACUGCUUUUGUCAGGGAAGAAAUCUUCUGGGCUAAUACCCCGGGGGGAUGACGGUACCUGAAGAAUAAGCACCGGCUAACUACGUGCCAGCAGCCGCCGUAA
rnacentral:rRNA from 1 species